rnacentral:snRNA from 1 species
AUCGCUUCUCGGCCUUUUGGCCAAGAUCAAGUGUGAAAUUUUUCUUGCUUUUUUUUUUUGUUGUUGUUGUUCAUUACAGCAAAUUACUUCCCAGGCAACAAGACAAAUAUUGUUUUGUCCAUUUAACAGAUAGAAAACUGUACUGUAG